rnacentral:rRNA from 1 species
GGGAUCCGAUUUUAGCAUGGAAUAAUAAAAUAGGACGUGUGGUUCUAUUUUGUUGGUUUCUAGGACCGCCGUAAUGAUUAAUAGGGACAGUCGGGGGCAUCAGUAUUCAAUUGUCAGAGGUGAAAUUCUUGGAUUUAUUGAAGACUAACUACUGCGAAAGCAUUUGCCAAGGAUGUUUUCAUUUAUCAGGAACGAAAGUUAGGGGAUCGAAGACGAUCAGAUACCGUCGUAGUCUUAACCAUAAACUAUGCCGACUAGGGAUCGGACGAUGUUAUUUUUUGACUCGUUCGGCACCUUACGAGAAAUCAAAGUGCUUGGGCUCCAGGGGGAGUAUGGUCGCAAGGCUGAAACUUAAAGAAAUUGACGGAAGGGCACCACCAGGGGUGGAGCCUGCGGCUUAAUUUGACUCAACACGGGGAAACUCACCCAGGUCCAGAAAUCUAGA